rnacentral:rRNA from 1 species
AUACGUAUGUCGCAAGCGUUAUCCGGAAUUAUUGGGCGUAAAGCGAGUCUAGGCGGCUUGUUAAGUCAGAUGUGAAAAUGCGGGGCUCAACUCCGUAUUGCGUUUGAAACUGGCAGGCUAGAGUACUGGAAAGGUGGGCGGAACUACAAGUGUAGAGGUGAAAUUCGUAGAUAUUUGUAGGAAUGCCGAUAGUGAAGACAGCUCACUGGACAGAUACUGACGCUAAAGCUCGAAAGCGUGGGGAGCGAACAGGAUUAGAAACCCGGGUAGUCC